rnacentral:tRNA from 1 species
GCCGCGGUAGUCUAGCGGUUAGAACGCUGGCCUUGUAAUCCUGGGGUCUCGGGUUCGAUUCCCGGCGGUGCCC